rnacentral:sRNA from 1 species
CUUGGUCAUUUAGAGGAAGUAAAAGUCGUAACAAGGUCUCCGUUGGUGAACCAGCGGAGGGAUCAUUACCGAGUUUACAACUCCCAAACCCCUGUGAACAUACCACUUGUUGCCUCGGCGGAUCAGCCCGCUCCCGGUAAAACGGGACGGCCCGCCAGAGGACCCCUAAACUCUGUUUCUAUAUGUAACUUCUGAGUAAAACCAUAAAUAAAUCAAAACUUUCAACAACGGAUCUCUUGGUUCUGGCAUCGAUGAAGAACGCAGCAAAAUGCGAUAAGUAAUGUGAAUUGCAGAAUUCAGUGAAUCAUCGAAUCUUUGAACGCACAUUGCGCCCGCCAGUAUUCUGGCGGGCAUGCCUGUUCGAGCGUCAUUUCAACCCUCAAGCACAGCUUGGUGUUGGGACUCGCGUUAAUUCGCGUUCCCCAAAUUGAUUGGCGGUCACGUCGAGCUUCCAUAGCGUAGUAGUAAAACCCUCGUUACUGGUAAUCGUCGCGGCCACGCCGUUAAACCCCAACUUCUGAAUGUUGACCUCGGAUCAGGUAGGAAUACCCGCUGAACUUAAGCAUAUCAAUAAGCGGAGGA